GACGAACGCUGGCGGCGUGCUUAACACAUGCAAGUCGAACGGAAAGGCCCUGCUUUUGUGGGGUGCUCGAGUGGCGAACGGGUGAGUAACCCGUGAGUAACCUGCCCUUGACUUUGGGAUAACUUCAGGAAACUGGGGCUAAUACCGGAUAGGAGCUCCUGCUGCAUGGUGGGGGUUGGAAAGUUUCGGCGGUUGGGGAUGGACUCGCGGCUUAUCAGCUUGUUGGUGGGGUAGUGGCUUACCAAGGCUUUGACGGGUAGCCGGCCUGAGAGGGUGACCGGCCACAUUGGGACUGAGAUACGGCCCAGACUCCUACGGGAGGCAGCAGUGGGAAAUAUUGCACAAUGAGCGGAAGCCUGAUGCAGCAACGCCGCGUGCGGGAUAACGGCCUUCGGGUUGUAAACCGCUUUCGCCUGUGACGAAGCGUGAGUGACAGUAAUGGGUAAAGAAGCACCGGCUAACUACGUG
rnacentral:rRNA from 1 species